GAGUCAGAUAGCUGCUGUAAGGAUUAGAAACAGUCAGUGCUCAGAGGAGCUGCCUGUGAGAAACAUCAAGGGGGUCUCCUAGCAGGUCAGAAGAGACCAGAAAACAACCUGUGGCUAUGGUGAAGUGGCCACUAUUUUAACAUCAACAUUCAAAUAACUGGCCAAAGCUAUAAUUUCUCACAGCACUUUUCAAAGGCAGCCCUUUAAAAUCAAGUGAGCUACUGUGUCACCCCUGCCAUGGCCAUUUGACUGCCUCUCAGUAGCUCAUGGACAGCUCUGGAUACUCCAGCUCUCAGUGUGGACAUUGGUGAUGAGAAAAGAGCAGCAGGAAAGCUUAUUGGGGAUCUCUUUUCCUAGGAUGAGGAGCCAAAUUUAAGUUCGGACCCUUGCCUUAGCCAUGUUGUGGAUGUGCCUGGUCACUGAUCCUGUGCUUCCCUGGCUGAUAGAUCCUCUCGCUUGACCUCGAAUCUGGCUAGUCUCUGUGGUCAGGCUUGGUGGUCCCUGGAUGGCAGCUGUCCCCCUGUUGCUGGCCUGGCUCUCCUUAGGUGCCAUGGAGCUGUCAGGGAAGUCCCUGCCUGCCUCACCAUCUCCCUUAUCCCCAGUCGUGGUGGAGCAGCCAUGCUUCUCCAUGCUGAUGAGGGCUGCACACAGUCCUCAGGGCGUGGGUAAUAAGCAGCUUUUUUCUUCCAGUGCUUUUUGGUACUCUUGCCAGGUAUUGCCCUUGUAUAAAUAAUCACAGUGUUAACACUGAAACAUGACUAAGCAAGCUAAUAGGCAUUCUGUUUUGAAACAAGAAUUAAAAACAUUGGUUUUGA